UGCAAGUCGAACGAGCUUCCGUUGAAUGACGUGCUUGCACUGAUUUCAACAAUGAAGCGAGUGGCGAACUGGUGAGUAACACGUGGGGAAUCUGCCCAGAAGCAGGGGAUAACACUUGGAAACAGGUGCUAAUACCGUAUAACAACAAAAUCCGCAUGGAUUUUGUUUGAAAGGUGGCUUCGGCUAUCACUUCUGGAUGAUCCCGCGGCGUAUUAGUUAGUUGGUGAGGUAAAGGCCCACCAAGACGAUGAUACGUAGCCGACCUGAGAGGGUAAUCGGCCACAUUGGGACUGAGACACGGCCCAAACUCCUACGGGAGGCAGCAGUAGGGAAUCUUCCACAAUGGACGAAAGUCUGAUGGAGCAAUGCCGCGUGAGUGAAGAAGGGUUUCGGCUCGUAAAACUCUGUUGUUAAAGAAGAACACCUUUGAGAGUAACUGUUCAAGGGUUGACGGUAUUUAACCAGAAAGCCACGGCUAACUACGUGCCAGCAGCCGCGGUAAUACGUAGGUGGCAAGCGUUGUCCGGAUUUAUUGGGCGUAAAGCGAGCGCAGGCGGUUUUUUAAGUCUGAUGUGAAAGCCUUCGGCUUAACCGGAGAAGUGCAUCGGAAACUGGGAGACUUGAGUGCAGAAGAGGACAGUGGAACUCCAUGUGUAGCGGUGGAAUGCGUAGAUAUAUGGAAGAACACCAGUGGCGAAGGCGGCUGUCUAGUCUGUAACUGACGCUGAGGCUCGAAAGCAUGGGUAGCGAACAGGAUUAGAUACCCUGGUAGUCCAUGCCGUAAACGAUGAGUGCUAAGUGUUGGAGGGUUUCCGCCCUUCAGUGCUGCAGCUAACGCAUUAAGCACUCCGCCUGGGGAGUACGACCGCAAGGUUGAAACUCAAAGGAAUUGACGGGGGCCCGCACAAGCGGUGGAGCAUGUGGUUUAAUUCGAAGCUACGCGAAGAACCUUACCAGGUCUUGACAUCUUCUGCCAAUCUUAGAGAUAAGACGUUCCCUUCGGGGACAGAAUGACAGGUGGUGCAUGGUUG
rnacentral:rRNA from 2 species